GAUUGCCUACGGGGCGCAGCAGUAGGGAAUCUUCCACAAUGGGCGAAAGCCUGAUGGAGCAACGCCGCGUGGGUGAAGAAGGUCUUCGGAUCGUAAAACCCUGUUGUUAGAGAAGAGAGUGCGUGAGAGUAACUGUUCACGUUUCGACGGUAUCUAACCAGAAAGCCACGGCUAGCUACGUGCCAGCAGCCGCGGUAAUACGUAGGUGGCAAGCGUUAUCCGGAUUUAUUGGGCG
rnacentral:rRNA from 1 species